GUCCAAGAGUUGCAAUAAAUCAACUUCAGAAUAUUUUGUUAAUAUGGUGGAGUAUUAAUGGAAACUAUCUUUGCACGCUGCAAUAACUAAGCAGCCUUAGAGCUAAUUCUUGUAAUUUUCAUCAUUCUUAUGUUUAGAAGUAAUUUAUCCAGCUCAAGAAUAUUAAAACUGUGGAAAGAAAAAAUCAGGAUUGGAGGAGAAACAUGACAGGCAUAGCAAUCAAAACAGGUCACAUGCAUAACAAAACAUUGUUUUUUCCCCACCAGUCUCACUCAGAAUCACUGCAGAUUUACAAUGUGUUAUACGAUAAAUAAAAACUAAGCCUCAUUUCUAUAAUUUAGCUUUACUAGAAAUUACAUUAGAACUGUCAACUGCUUAAAUACACACGCACACAAAAAUUGAUACCCAAAAGAAAUAAAGACCUCUGAAAGAUCACAGCAGACAUACAAGCUUUGCUUCAGACAACAAAAAGCAGCCAGUCUCCAGCUUACCCUUUGUGAGGGCUAAAGGUACCUGCUCUUCAGUACCUGAGUAGCCUCAGAUUGAGCCUUGUCUCUGGUGUCUCCUUCAUCCCCAAAGUGCUCUCUGGCAGGAGCCCUGCUCCUCUUUGCACCCUCUCGUAAAACACCCCUUGGGCCCUUUCCUUAGGCACUGCUCCCGUAUCUGACAGCAGCCACCUUCUGCUGCAAGGUUGUUAAACAGGGAAGGGAAAACAGUGUUACCAGAUGGGAAACAAUGAUGGGACUAAGACACAACCUCUCUGCAGCUUUCUACACUGACUGUUACUGUGAAGUAACACAGUAAAAUGCAUCCCAAGUUUUUGCACGCAAAAUGCCUCCAGGAAAUAUUGUUACUGAUACAGUGGGCAGAAUAGAUCCUUGACUUUCAUUCAUAUGUAAGAGUUGUCUGGAAUUUAGAUAAAUGCUUCCGAGUCUCAAUCAUGGAGGUCCUCCUACUCCUGUGCAUUCAGCUAUUCUUUGUCCUGCCACAGCCUCUUUUGUCCUCUAUAAUUUUCUCUUGCUUGACUUUGUUACAUUAGUGCUUCUUUUGCUCUCUUUGGCAUCUUUCUUCUUACUGACAUCUAAAGAAUCAUUAGUGUUUUCUGCUCUCAGGUGAAGCCCACUAACUCCAGUUUCUCUCUUGAGCCUUUGUUCCAAGUAUUAUUGUCACUAAAACUGACUGUAUCGCCUCUAUAAAACAAAUCCAAAAUACAUUUGUGGCUCCCCUUCAUGAAAAACAACAACAACAACAACAAGAAAACCCACCAACCUUGGAAAGGAAGGUCAUUCGCCUCUGCUACUCUCCCUGAUAUUGUUUCAGUACCUUCUGGAGUACUUCCAGCACACACACAACUUUGGUUGUGGAGAGCUACUUAAUGUUACACGCUGGUGAAAGCUGAAUUCUGGUGUAGAAAUAAGUUUUGCAAUAACAGUACCCUCCUCACCAGGAUAGUAAGAAUAAGGUCAUGUUUGGCAGAUCUUGCACUGUUAUUUUUUUCCAAAACCUUCCAGAGUUACUCGAUGCAAAAGAAUUACAGAUGAAUUUCAAUACUUACACUCUUCACAGUAUCAUUACCUUAAUUAAAUGGCUUAAGAGUGAGAAUCUCAAUAUCAGAAGGUGCCAGCUCACUGCCACCUCUUCACACCAUGAUCAGGAUCCUCCUCCGCAAGCCCUCCCAGGUGGCACUCUCUAUGCGGAGGCCAUAAGGAUGGUCCAGGCCCACAUUCUCUUUUCCUGAACACUUGGACAUCCCUCAGCUUGUCAUCCUCACAGGUCUUCCUCUUCCUUAGCUGUGUGUUCCUCUGGAGACUGCAGGCACAACUGAAUACUUCACUGUACUGAAAGACACAAUAAACCAUAA
ensembl:lncRNA